GUUGUUGUAGGCGUUCUCAAGGCCGAAUCUGCUCUCCCUCAGAUUCUGGUCUGUAGGGAGAGGCCGUGAUGAGUGAUGGGAGCCUUGGUAGGGGGAGGACUAGGGGGCAGAGGGGAUUUCCUCUGGCAAAAGGAAGAGUCAGCCCGGCAUCUGCCCUACGCCCUUUCCCACUGCCGACCACCCCUCCGACCCUGCAUCACUGGGCUGCGGACUGCCAUGUUGCCAUGCUGUGAUGCAGCAAGAAAGUCCUCACCAGAUGCAGCCCCUUGAUCUUGGACUUCCCAGCCUCCAGAACUGUGAGCCAAAUAAACUUCUAUUGUUUAUCAAUUA
ensembl:lncRNA MUC12-AS1 MUC12 antisense RNA 1